rnacentral:rRNA from 1 species
UUUCGGUUAUCGAUGGGGAUGCGUUCCAUUAGGCAGGUGGUGAGGUAACGGCUCACCAAACCUUCGAUGGAUAGGGGUUCUGAGAGGAAGGUCCCCCACAUUGGAACUGAGACACGGUCCAAACUCCUACGGGAGGCAGCAGUGAGGAAUAUUGGUCAAUGGGCGCAGGCCUGAACCAGCCAAGUAGCGUGAAGGAUGACUGCCCUAUGGGUUGUAAACUUCUUUUAUAUGGGAAUAAAGUUUUCCACGUGUGGAAUUUUGUAUGUACCAUAUGAAUAAGGAUCGGCUAACUCCGUGCCAGCAGCCGCGGUAAUACGGAGGAUCCGAGCGUUAUCCGGAUUUAUUGGGUUUAAAGGGAGCGUAGGUGGACAGUUAAGUCAGUUGUGAAAGUUUGCGGCUCAACCGUAAAAUUGCAGUUGAUACUGGCUGUCUUGAGUACAGUAGAGGUGGGCGGAAUUCGUGGUGUAGCGGUGAAAUGCUUAGAUAUCACGAAGAACUCCGAUUGCGAAGGCAGCUCACUGGACUGCAACUGACACUGAUGCUCGAAAGUGUGGGUAUCAAACAGGAUUAGAUACCCUGGUAGUCCACACAGUAAACGAUGAAUACUCGCUGUUUGCGAUAUACAGUAAGCGGCCAAGCGAAAGCAUUAAGUAUUCCACCUGGGGAGUA